ACCAUGUCGCCAUUUUGAUUCGAAAAAUAUGACUGAGUUUUUCCUGCUUUGCAUGCUAAACUUAGCCCCGCGUUUGAAUUACUUUGUGCGUGAGUACGAAUCAUACACUUUAUAUCUGAAAUAACAGGUAUUGCUAUUAAUGUCAAGUAGCCGUUAAUGUUAGGGAACCGUUUAUUUGACAGACUUUAAAGCCACAUUUGACUAACGUUAGCCAAGUUGAGCUAGCUAACAGUAGCCUGUGCUGUCGCAGACUGACCCCUUCUUCAAAACAAAUCACUAUUCGCUCACAGGCAAAUGUCUGUUAGCUAACACAGCUAGCUAAUAGUUAGCUGGAUAGCUAGUGACUUAGUAGCUGGCUGCUUGACGAAAAACUCGACUAGCAGUCUAAUACAGACGGAAGGAAUAGCAGCGGACUUUCAAUCAAAGGUUAUGGUGAGCCUCUCAGCGUCUCAUCUCCUAAACAGGCCUGCGUUUUAAGAGGAGACCCAUGCUGAUAAAUGCCAGGCCUCGCCACACUCUCUGUCGUCUGCACAAACACAAAUGCCUGCCUGCCCGUGGGGGAGGUCUGAUUAAAGAUAUCCACAUUUCAUCCACUGGGCUGUGUCCCCCGUCCCAGCGGCCACCAUGUUUUGGAAGUUCGACCUGCACACCACCUCCCACAUCGACCAGCUGCUGGACAGGGAGGACGUGACGCUGAGAGAGCUGAUGGAGGAGGAUGACGUCCUGCAGGAAUGCAAGGCCCAAAACCGUCGGCUGCUCCUCUUCCUCUCCCAGGACCACUGCAUGCAGGAGCUGGUCAGCCUCAUCACCACAGAGCCUCCCGCCGACCUGGAGGAGAGGAGCCGGUUUAAGUUCCCCAACAUUGCUUGUGAGCUCCUGACAUCAGAUGUGUCCAUUAUAAAUGAUAAGCUGGGCGGAGAGGAGUCUCUCCUUGAAGUGCUUUAUCACUUUCUGGAACAGGACCCGCCCCUCAACCCACUACUGGCCAGCUUCUUCAGCAAAACCAUCGGCAACCUCAUUGCCAGGAAAACCGAACAGGUGAUUACCUUCCUAAAGAAAAAGGAAGGCUUCAUUGGUCUGGUGCUGAAACAUAUUGAUGCCUCUGCCAUGAUGGACCUGCUGCUUCGCCUCAUCAGUUGUGUGGAGCCCGCCCCUUUGAGGCAGGAAGUCCUGCAUUGGCUGAAUGAAGAGAAGUUGGUACAAAGACUCACAGAGCUCAUCCAUACUGGCAAAGAUGAGGAGAGACAAUCAAAUGCAUCCCAAACGCUUUGUGACAUCAUCCGCCUUAGUCGAGACCAGGCCAAUCAGAUGCAGGAGAAUAUGGAGGCCGACCCACUAUUGGCUGUACUAGAGUCGCAGGAGAGUGUAGCGGGGCUCCUCAAGAACAUGUUUGAGGGUGAGAGGAGUGAGGCCUCAAUUGUUAAUGGAACUCAAGUGCUACUUACCUUACUGGAGACCAGGAGGUCUGGGUUGGAAGGACUGAUGGAUCUGUAUUCUCAGGGUUAUGAAAGGUCUUACACUGUCAACAGCAGUAUUUUAAAUGCCAUUGAGCCCCAUUUAAAGGACUUCCAGCAGCUUCUUCUGGAUCCCCCCAAGAAAAGUGCAAUAUUGACGACCGUUGGCGUUCUAGAGCAGCCACUGGGGAACGCCCGCCUUCAUGUGGCCAGGCUGGUGGCCGCCCUGCUGCAGACCAGUGCCCCCAGUAUCUGCCAGGAGCUCUGCAAUCUUACCACCAUGGACCUACUACUGGAUCUGUUCUUCAAAUACUCCUGGAAUAACUUUUUGCACUUCCAAGUGGAGUUGUGUGUGGCGGCUAUCCUGAACCAUCCUUCCUCAGAGGAGCGGCCCAGCCCAGGCCUCCAGAACCACGAUGGGAAGCCUGCAGCCUCCAACCCUGAGGCUCAGGGGGAGGCAGCGGAGACAGGCAGGACCAGCGACCCACAGACCUCCAUCCACAAUGCCCUUGUGGCACAUCUCUUCCAGAAGUGUCAUCUGGUACAGAGGAUCCUUGACGCAUGGGAGGAGAAUGAUAAAAUACAGAGUGAGGGCGGCACCAGGAGAGGCAACAUGGGCCAUCUGACCAGAAUUGCCAACAUGGUUGUCCAGAACCUGGAGAAAGGACCAGUACAGGCCCAGCUCACUGACCUCAUCAAAGAGCUGCCAGAAGACUGCAGAGGUCGCUGGGAGAGCUUUGUGGACGAGACCCUGAGAGAGACUAACAGGAGGAACACAGUCGAGCUGGUAAGCACCCACAACAUGCACUCGUCCAGCGAAGACGACGACAUGGAGAGCCCCUUCCCCAACGACCUGUCUCUCCAGCAGGCCUUCUCUGACUAUCAGAUCCAACAGAUGACUGCUAACUUUGUGGAUCAGUUUGGCUUCAAUGACGAGGAGUUCAGCGAGCAUGAUGAAAAUAUCAAUGCCACAUUUGACAGAAUUGCCGAAAUAAACUUCAAUCUAGAUGCUGAUGAUAAUAGUGCCAAUGCGGCUGCUUUUGAAGCCUGCUGUAAAGAGAGGAUACGCCAGUUUGAUGAUGCUGAAGAAGAAGAGGACAUUUGGGAGGAAAAGGAGAUGAACUAUGCAACACAAGUUAAAUCCAGAACAAGGUUUGGAGUCUCCCAAACCUCAGAAAGCUCCAGAAGCAGCUUGGAGAACGGAGGCAGGGAGCGGGACCACGGAUCUGAAUCUGAUGAGGAGGAAGAGUCUGAGCAGAACACAUCAGAAACAGGUCCAGGCUGGACAGCAAAUUUCAGGGACUCUGGAGGGACUGCAGCAUCCCAAACCCCAGCAGGGUGGGACAGCUCAUCUGGGGGUGGAGCAGGGACACAGGGAAGUGGCUGGGCCAACUUCACUGAGUUCCAGCCUUUCUCCGGUACAGAGUCUGAUCCCAGGUGCAGCUCUCCUGUGGGCUUGGGCAGCAGUGAUGCAGAUAAACAAGCCAAACAAAACCACGAGAAGAGUGCAGAUGUUAGUGCCUCCUCUGGUGCUUGGCCCGUGGGAGAAGGGAGGAAGGCUCCCCUCGUGGCCUCAGACAGCAGCUCCUCCGGGGGAUCCGACAGCGAGGAGGAUGACAAAAAUGCCGGCGCUCCUCCCGCCGCAGCCAUCGCCUCGGAAACAGCCGGCGCCCCCGGCAAGAAGACAGCUGACCUCAAAAGCGAGGAGAGUCCGGUGUCUCUGGAGAAACUCUCCCUGUCAGAUCCUCCGAAAGCUUCAGAUCAGCAGCCUGCUGAGGAUUCACCUGUAACCACACAGACUGACAGGAAAGAGGGAACGCCACCACCCCAGGAAGUGUCGGUCAACGGGCCAGUCUGAGGGCGAGUGCACUGCUAAAUCCAUCAGUGACAGUGCCGCCGACUGUCAGCCUCCUCCAGAGUGACUCCCCUAAAUAACCUCACUGCAACUACGGUGUUUUUACUGAAUCACUCGGCCAUGUUAUUGGACCUGGACACUGCCAAUCAACACCAAUAAUGAGGUGGCGGAACAUGUAAAAAAAAAAAAAAAAGAUGACAAAUAAGAAACAAAACCAACAGACAGGAUGGAGUGUAGAGGAAUCAUCUUCAAAGCCUUUUUUCUGAUGUUGCACAUAAUUACGUGCGGUUUUAAUGUAGCAGUGAUCUUUGAAACGACAGAAUCCGAGGGGUAACAUCAUCAUUAUUAUUUUUUUAUGUCCUGAAAGAUUUCUCUCCUACUUGCUCGAAGCUGUUGGAAUCCCAUUGUUAGGGAUUUUUACAUCGUCACCCCUGAAUGGAUAGCACAGGCUAACUUUUAACGAUGCCUCAACAAUAAAUACCUUUUUUUGAAAACUUUUUUUUUUUUUUUUUCUUCAAGCUUCAGAAAAAGCACUUAUGCAGCCAUUUACUGUACAUUAUAGCACAAUGUAAGUGUUCUACCCUCAUCUCUGCUGGCUGUCUUAUCUGUCCUCUCACCCAGAUCAAGGUUGUUUUCCAUUAUCUCGUGUUUUUUUUUUUUUUUUUUUUUUGUUCUUUUUUUUUUUCUCUUUGGUCGCUGUUGAUGCAACAUCUUGUUGUCGUACAUCAUCAGGUUUCUGAAUGUUCUGAAGUGCUUCAGGAGGGUCGGAGGAGGAGGAGGAGGUGGUGGAGGGGCAGGUUGAUGAACAGAGCUCUAAUAGUAUUACUGUCUUUUGCUCAUGUGCAAUAAUGUCAAUUAGCCAUUUUAUUUAAAAAUGAAAUUCAGCAUCUUUUUCUUUUUAAAAAGAAUCAAUUUAGCGUUGGAGACUCAUUUGGUGUAGUUUGGGGCAGACAAAUUUGGAUAUAAUCUCAACUUGAUCAUUUUAGAUUUUUUAAUUUUUUUAAAAUUUUUUUUUUCUUUUUAGUGCAUGUAUAACCGGUUCUCUGUUGACCUAGCUAGUGAGCUAAGACCUUCUGAUUGUAUUGACCUUUAAGUUCUUAUUGCUAUCCCCCUUAAAUCAACCAAACAUUAUCUACCUAUAUUCAAAUAUUAUCUACAUUUAAAAGUAAUUUUACAAGCAAUCUUGAGAUUACUAUUGUUGUCUGUUCCUUUUUUUUCUCUCUCCACCAAGCACUUACUCACAGGGCGAGAGUGGCAUCUGGUAAGAGUGACGCUGUAUGUUUUUUUGUUCUUUUUUUUUUCUUUUCUUUUUUAAAGUUUAAUUUUAUUUGUCUCUGAGCAGCAGGAAUGGAAAGAGGGCAGGUCUGGGUUCUGCAGAGCUCCAGGCCUCUUUGGUGUACUUACUUAAAUCAUUUGACAGCGAUCAGGUUCUACGAUCAUUGUUAAAAAAAAAAAAAAGAAAAAGAAAAAAGAAAUUAAAAGUGUCUGGUUGACCACAUUAAUACCAAAA